rnacentral:lncRNA from 1 species
CCAGAAGCCGCUUGUGGGAAAAUAUCACUUACCCUUAGCAUCUGGGUCCUGUGAUUGUUAUCCAAAGAGACAGAGUGUGCUUUCUCCAUGUACUGUGAAACACAUCCAUCUGGAUCCACCUAUUUAAGCUACAUGCCUAGCCUCCAGAGUCAUCCAGACUUUUAGCAUAAGAACUCAAAUGAGAAAUCAUGAAGAAUGCAUUAACUGAAUCCAAUAUCACCUACAGGACCCUGGGCCCAUUGCACUUUGUAAUUGUAUUACUUUUCUUCUGGUUAUCUUCAUAGGAUCUUAGGUAUACUCUCUCUGAAAAGUGUUAAAGACAACUUCUCCCUGGGCCUGAGAAUAAAUUAUCUUUUUCCUAUCGCUGUAUAUUUUUGUUUGUUUGUCUCGUUUUUUUGUUUUUUGUUUUUUCCUGGCUGGAUAGGGAAGUGAUCAAGCCACAAGUGAGGAGCUGCAGUGGCCCAUGAACAAUACAUAGGUCCAUCUCCUGGAACUUGUGACCACUCGCCCAGGAUCGCACUCAUGGCCACAACAAAGAUGAUGGCUUUUCUGUUUCUCCGGCUGCACCACAUCAGACACCUGUGGCAAAUAUUGAGGCAACACUAUGUGAAGUCUGACUAGUGACUCUUAGAGACUCCAACUAAUGGCUUCUCUGGGAGGGAUAAAAUAGGGCACAUGAAAUUAUCUUGUUGAGAAUACAUAGGUAUGUUUAUAGACUCACAUAUAUUUCAUUUAUAAAUAUAAAAUUAUUUUAGACUGAGUUACAAUUUUUAUGGUAAAAAUAAGUAGAAUAAUAGCAUUUAAAUAAUACUUUUAAACUUUUUCAUAUUCUUUCCUAAAUACCUUGAUUAACAUUUAUUUGGUAACAUUAUUUGUCCCAUUCUUUAAAAAGAAGGAAAAUAGGCUAUGAGAAAGUAAGUACAUUCAAGUUCCAAUUAUUCUUAAUAUGUUGUAUCAUAGUAUGUCAUUUGCAUCAAAGUCAGUUACACAGCAAACUAACCAACUGCACAAACAAAAAUAAUAAUAUGAAAGUAGAAAUUUACAUUUGAAACUCUUAACUACCAUCGGUACCAAAUAUACUUUUGGUUAUCUUGUCAAAUUAUAGGGAUGAGUGGCUGAGACCAUGCAGGUAUGUUCGGUAGGGUUGAAUGGAGUGUUAGAGUGUUGCUAUUGGCCUUGAAAUAGAUUGAUUUUUUUUUCUUUUUUUUGCCUUCUACCUGGGAUCAUGGUCUCUGCCUUACUUGCACAGGGUCCUCAUUAUCAAAGCAGAUUAUCUGGCUCAUAUUACACAAUAUGUUAAAUAGCUUACUUCUUUAAAUAUACACACUUUCACCAUAUUCAAAUGUGAAUACUCAGAGCUUAAAAACACUCAUGAG